rnacentral:rRNA from 1 species
GGGGAAUAUUGCACAAUGGGGGAAACCCUGAUGCAGCGACGCCGCGUGAGUGAAGAAGUAUCUCGGUAUGUAAAGCUCUAUCAGCAGGGAAGAAAAUGACGGUACCUGACUAAGAAGCCCCGGCUAACUACGUGCCAGCAGCCGCGGUAAUACGUAGGGUGCAAGCGUUGUCCGGAAUUACUGGGUGUAAAGGGAGCGCAGGCGGACCGGCAAGUUGGAAGUGAAAACUAUGGGCUCAACCCAUAAAUUGCUUUCAAAACUGUUUUUCUUGAGUAGUGCAGAGGUAGAUGGAAUUCCCGGUGUAGCGGUGGAAUGCGUAGAUAUCGGGAGGAACACCAGUGGCGAAGGCGGUCUACUGGGCACCAACUGACGCUGAGGCUCGAAAGCAUGGGUAGCAAACAGGAUUAGAUACCCUGGUAGUCCAUGCCGUAAACGAUGAUUACUAGGUGUUGGGGGAUUGACCCCCUCAGUGCCGCAGUUAACACAAUAAGUAAUCCACCUGGGGAGUACGACCGCAAGGUUGAAACUCAAAGGAAUUGACGGGGGCCCGCACAAGCAGUGGAGUAUGUGGUUUAAUUCGAAGCAACGCGAAGAACCUUACCAGGUCUUGACAUCCGAUGCAUAACACAGAGAUGUGUGAAAUCCUUCGGGACAUCGAGACAGGUGGUGCAUGGUUGUCGUCAGCUCGUGUCGUGAGAUGUUGGGUUAAGUCCCGCAACGAGCGCAACCCUUAUUGCCAGUUACUACGUUAAGAGGACUCUGGCGAGACUGCCGUUGACAAAACGGAGGAAGGUGGGGAUGACGUCAAAUCAUCAUGCCCUUUAUGACCUGGGCUACACACGUACUACAAUGGCGUUAAACAAAGAGAAGCAAGACCGCGAGGUGGAGCAAAACUCAAAAACAACGUCUCAGUUCAGAUUGCAGGCUGCAACUCGCCUGCAUGAAGUCGGAAUUGCUAGUAAUCGCGGAUCAGCAUGCCGCGGUGAAUACGUUCCCG